GGAGGGGGCUAGCGUUAUUCGGAAUUAUUGGGCGUAAAGGGCGUGUAGGCGGCUUCGUAUGUCCCAUGUGAAAGCCCUCGGCUCAACCGGGGAAUUGCAUGGGAAACUGCGGAGCUUGAGUCCGGGAGAGGAGAGUGGAAUUCCCAGUGUAGCGGUGAAAUGCGUAGAUAUUGGGAGGAACACCAGUGGCGAAGGCGGCUCUCUGGACCGGUACUGACGCUGAGACGCGAAAGCCAGGGGAGCAAACGGGGAUUAGAUACCCCGGUAGUCCUGGCCGUAAACGAUGAGCACUUGGUGUAGCGGGUAUCGACCCCCUGCUGUGCCGAAGCUAACGCAUUAAGUGCUCCGCCUGGGGAGUACGGCCGCAGGCUG
rnacentral:rRNA from 1 species